GGAUGAACGCUGGCGGCGUGCCUAAUACAUGCAAGUCGAGCGAACAGACGAGGAGCUUGCUCCUCUGACGUUAGCGGCGGACGGGUGAGUAACACGUGGAUAACCUACCUAUAAGACUGGGAUAACUUCGGGAAACCGGAGCUAAUACCGGAUAAUAUAUUGAACCGCAUGGUUCAAUAGUGAAAGACGGUUUUGCUGUCACUUAUAGAUGGAUCCGCGCCGCAUUAGCUAGUUGGUAAGGUAACGGCUUACCAAGGCAACGAUGCGUAGCCGACCUGAGAGGGUGAUCGGCCACACGGGAACUGAGACACGGUCCAGACUCCUACGGGAGGCAGCAGUAGGGAAUCUUCCGCAAUGGGCGAAAGCCUGACGGAGCAACGCCGCGUGAGUGAUGAAGGUCUUCGGAUCGUAAAACUCUGUUAUUAGGGAAGAACAAAUGUGUAAGUAACUAUGCACGUCUUGACGGUACCUAAUCAGAAAGCCACGGCUAACUACGUG
rnacentral:rRNA from 1 species